rnacentral:rRNA from 1 species
AUUGAACGCUGGCGGCAUGCUUUACACAUGCAAGUCGAACGGCAGCGCGGGCUUCGGCCUGGCGGCGAGUGGCGAACGGGUGAGUAAUACAUCGGAACGUGCCCUGUAGUGGGGGAUAGCGCGGCGAAAGCCGGAUUAAUACCGCAUCCGACCUGAGGGUGAAAGCGGGGGAUCUUCGGACCUCGCGCUAUUGGAGCGGCCGAUGGCAGAUUAGCUAGUUGGUGGGGUAAAGGCCUACCAAGGCGACGAUCUGUAGCUGGUCUGAGAGGACGACCAGCCACACUGGGACUGAGACACGGCCCAGACUCCGACGGGAGGCAGCAGUGGGGAAUUUUGGACAAUGGGCGAAAGCCUGAUCCAGCAAUGCCGCGUGUGGGAUGAAGGCCUUCGGGUGGUAAAGCACUUUUGGCGGGAACGAAAAGGACUGUGCCAAUACCACGGUUCGAUGACGGUACCCGCAGAAUAAGCACCGGCUAACUACGUG